GGUCAUGGCUCGGUGGUAGGGCGCUUGCCUAGCACGCAUGAGGCCCUCGGUUGGAUCCCCAGCACCA
rnacentral:tRNA from 1 species